GGUCCUGUAGCCAAGUGGUAAGGCAUAGCUCUGCAAAAGCUUGAACAUCGGUUCGAAUCCGUUCAGGACCUCCA
rnacentral:tRNA from 1 species